rnacentral:rRNA from 1 species
CAUUGCGGUCCGUGGAGAAACAUCCAGGACCACUCCUGUCCGAGGGCCG